rnacentral:misc_RNA from 1 species
UCCGAGUUGACCCCGGCAGUCUCCCAUGAGUCCCCGGCAUAACCCGCUGGCAACAUGGAACGAGGGUUGCGCUCGUUGCGGGACUUAACCCAACAUCUCACGACACGAGCUGACGACAGCCGUGCAGCAUCUGUGCACGCUCCCUUGCGGGUCAUCCCUGUUUCCAGAUCUUACCACGUGCAUGUCAAGUCUAGGUAAGGUUCUUCGCGUUGCGUCGAAUUAAACCACACGCUCCGCUGCUUGUGCGGGCCCCCGUCAAUUCCUUUGAGUUUUAGCCUUGCGGCCGUAGUCCCCAGGCGGAGCACUUAUCGCGUUAGCUUCGGCGCCGAGGGGGUCGAUACCCCCGACACCUAGUCCGCAUCGUUUACGGCGUGGACUAC